rnacentral:rRNA from 1 species
UACGGAGGGUGCAAGCAUUAUCCGGAUUUACUGGGUUUAAAGGGUGCGCAGGCGGAUAUGUAAGUCAGUGGUGAAAUCUCCGGGCUUAACCCGGAAACUGCCGUUGAUACUAUAUAUCUUGAAUGCUGUGGAGGUAAGCAGAAUAUGUCAUGUAGCGGUGAAAUGCUUAGAGAUGACAUAGAAUACCUAUUGCGAAGGCAGCUUACUACGCAGAUAUUGACGCUCAUGCACGAAAGCGUGGGGAGUCAAACAG